CUCCCUGACCGCGUAUGAAAGUACGUUUUCACCCUCGGGUGACAGGGAGACAGGUGGUGCAUGGUUGUCGUCAGCUCGUGUCGUGAGAUGUUGGGUUAAGUCCCGCAACGAGCGCAACCCCUACGUUUAGUUGCUAACGCGUGAAGGCGAGCACUCUAGACGAACUGCCGUUGACAAAACGGAGGAAGGUGGGAUGACGUCAAAUCAUCAUGCCCCUUAUGUUCUGGGCUACACACGUGCUACAAUGGCCGGUACAGACGGACGCAAAGCCGCGAGGUGGAGCAAAUCCUAAAAAGCCGGUCUCAGUUCGGAUUGCAGGCUGCAAUUCGCCUGCAUGAAGUCGGAAUCGCUAGUAAUCGCAGGUCAGCAUACUGCGGUGAAUACGUUCCCGGGCCUU
rnacentral:rRNA from 1 species